CCUAGCGCUUUGCUCCAGCCUGGACACUGACCAUUGAAAAAUAGAUGCCCUUCUGAGCCAGCAGCUGCUGGUGUGUGCCACGCUCCUUGAUUCUGCCGUUCUGAAACACGACUAUUAAGUCUGCGUUCUGGAUGGUGGAGAGGCGGUGAGCGAUCACGAUGCAGGUCUGAAGGAACAUGGAGCCUCAAGCCCAGAAGCUUCGGAGCUGGAAAACUGUUGGAGAAAUGUUUCUCUCCCCUAAACCCAGAUUCAACAUCUUGAUCCUUUCCUCACAGGAAGUCGAAUGAUCAGCAGGCAGAAUCAAUGCAUCCUACCACCAGGGAUGUCGGAGUCCUGAACCCCAGAAUGUGUCAACAUGCUGGAUUACAUGGUGAGAUUCUUUGAAGCUUUAUGGACCUCAGAAGAUUGUGUUCUUAAAGAUCUGCUCUGCAAUGGAACUCUGGAAAUCAAGUGGAAGAGCUGUUUGUCACCUCCAAGAGGACACCAGUGACUCAGCAUCACUCAGGUUGCAUGCUUGGAGCUUUUUUCCCAGUAGUGGUGGAUGGAGGAGUGAGCUGAAAGGGAAAGCUUAGCAAAGAGUGCAGUGUGAACUACAAACCCAAAAGGAAACCAUAUGUUGUGGAAAUCUGUGAAGAUGGAAGACCAGAUUACCAACUGACAAGGUAUGGUCUGGAAGACUAAUCAGCAAGCAGACACAUGGGUGUGUCCAGGAGAGAACACAUGUCCACAGCUGAACUGUCAUCUAUUUGGGAACUCAACCCUGACAUUAGCUGUCUGUCAUCUCUCCGAAAACCAGCAUCAUGAGAGGGAGUGCAGCUCCAUGGAUGAUGGCAGCGAGAGUCCCCAGCACCAUAUACAACCUAUCAAGCCAAUUCGAAUAGCGAAA